GAUGAACGCUAGCGGCAGGCUUAAUACAUGCAAGUCGAGGGGCAGCACAGGUAGCAAUACUGGGUGGCGACCGGCAAACGGGUGCGGAACACGUACACAACUUACCUUCUGGUGGGGGAUAGCCUUUGGAAACGGAGAUUAAUACCCCAUAUUAUAUAUGAGCUGCAUGGUUUGUAUAUUAAAGAUUUAUUGCCGGAAGAUGGGUGUGCGUAUGAUUAGGUAGUUGGCGGGGUAACGGCCCACCAAGCCGACGAUCAUUAACUGGUGUGAGAGCACGACCAGUCACACGGGCACUGGGAAACGGGCCCGACUCCUACGGGAGGCAGCAGUAAGGAAUAUUGGUCAAUGGACGGAAGUCUGAACCAGCCAUGCCGCGUGGAGGAUGAAGGUCCUCUGGAUUGUAAACUUCUUUUAUAGGGGGCGAAAAAAGGGAAUUCCUUCUCGUCUGACGGUACCCUAUGAAUAAGCACCGGCUAACUCCGUGCCAGCAGCCGCGGUAAAAC
rnacentral:rRNA from 1 species